UUUUAUGGAGAGUUUGAUCCUGGCUCAGGAUGAACGCUGGCGGCGUGCCUAAUACAUGCAAGUCGAGCGAACGGACGAGAAGCUUGCUUCUCUGAUGUUAGCGGCGGACGGGUGAGUAACACGUGGAUAACCUACCUAUAAGACUGGGAUAACUUCGGGAAACCGGAGCUAAUACCGGAUAAUAUUUUGAACUGCAUGGUUCAAAAGUGAAAGACGGUCUUGCUGUCACUUAUAGAUGGAUCCGCGCUGCAUUAGCUAGUUGGUAAGGUAACGGCUUACCAAGGCAACGAUGCAUAGCCGACCUGAGAGGGUGAUCGGCCACACUGGAACUGAGACACGGUCCAGACUCCUACGGGAGGCAGCAGUAGGGAAUCUUCCGCAAUGGGCGAAAGCCUGACGGAGCAACGCCGCGUGAGUGAUGAAGGUCUUCGGAUCGUAAAACUCUGUUAUUAGGGAAGAACAUAUGUGUAAGUAACUGUGCACAUCUUGACGGUACCUAAUCAGAAAGCCACGGCUAACUACGUGCCAGCAGCCGCGGUAAUACGUAGGUGGCAAGCGUUAUCCGGAAUUAUUGGGCGUAAAGCGCGCGUAGGCGGUUUUUUAAGUCUGAUGUGAAAGCCCACGGCUCAACCGUGGAGGGUCAUUGGAAACUGGAAAACUUGAGUGCAGAAGAGGAAAGUGGAAUUCCAUGUGUAGCGGUGAAAUGCGCAGAGAUAUGGAGGAACACCAGUGGCGAAGGCGACUUUCUGGUCUGUAACUGACGCUGAUGUGCGAAAGCGUGGGGAUCAAACAGGAUUAGAUACCCUGGUAGUCCACGCCGUAAACGAUGAGUGCUAAGUGUUAGGGGUUUCCGCCCCUUAGUGCUGCAGCUAACGCAUUAAGCACUCCGCCUGGGGAGUACGACCGCAAGGUUGAAACUCAAAGGAAUUGACGGGGACCCGCACAAGCGGUGGAGCAUGUGGUUUAAUUCGAAGCAACGCGAAGAACCUUACCAAAUCUUGACAUCCUUUGACAACUCUAGAGAUAGAGCCUUCCCCUUCGGGGGACAAAGUGACAGGUGGUGCAUGGUUGUCGUCAGCUCGUGUCGUGAGAUGUUGGGUUAAGUCCCGCAACGAGCGCAACCCUUAAGCUUAGUUGCCAUCAUUAAGUUGGGCACUCUAAGUUGACUGCCGGUGACAAACCGGAGGAAGGUGGGGAUGACGUCAAAUCAUCAUGCCCCUUAUGAUUUGGGCUACACACGUGCUACAAUGGACAAUACAAAGGGCAGCGAAACCGCGAGGUCAAGCAAAUCCCAUAAAGUUGUUCUCAGUUCGGAUUGUAGUCUGCAACUCGACUACAUGAAGCUGGAAUCGCUAGUAAUCGUAGAUCAGCAUGCUACGGUGAAUACGUUCCCGGGUCUUGUACACACCGCCCGUCACACCACGAGAGUUUGUAACACCCGAAGCCGGUGGAGUAACCUUUUAGGAGCUAGCCGUCGAAGGUGGGACAAAUGAUUGGGGUGAAGUCGUAACAAGGUAGCCGUAUCGGAAGGUGCGGCUGGAUCACCUCCUUUCUAA
rnacentral:rRNA from 1 species